rnacentral:misc_RNA from 1 species
GUUUUCUCCAAGGAAAAAAAAGAUUACACGGAAUAUUCAUUAACACAAGCAAAUUGAGGAGAGAAAAAAACACUAAAAUUCACCUUUGGAGGAAAGUGAUGGCAAAAUGCAGGAAGGAAAAGUGGAAACACAGAGAACAAUACAGAUACGCAAAAGAGAAUCAUCAAGUUCUAUUGAAUCUCUCCAACUCAUCGAUUUUCAGACCUAAUUAUUAAUUCUGUUGCUAUCUUUCGAAUUACUUUUAAGCUAGAUUUGUUAUUUCAUUCCACCGCCAUUAAAACGCGAGAUCGUUCCUGUUCUGAUUAAGUCCAUGAAUAAUCAAAGUUAAAAUCCA